GCUGGAAUCCAGGAUAUGUGUGGCAAGACAGAGUGACAGAGAACAUCAAAUAUGUAAGUAGGAGGGUGGUGCCCAAACCUACUCCCCUCUAAGGAGCCGGGUAAAACCCAAAGCAUGUUAUCUUGGCAUUCAAAGCCCUUCACCACUUGGUCCCCACUUUUCCGGACUUCUUGGCCACUUCUCCCGUACUUGGCAUUCUAGACACAUGGGAUGCUGGAAUUCAUGAAUUUUUCACCUUCAUGUCUUUGUACCUGCUUUUCCCUUCCCCACUUAAUGUGUGCUCAGUGCUUUAGACGAAGCCCGGGAUUAUCCCUGCCCCUGCGCCACGGAUCUGACUAUAGGGCUCCUCCUCUGCCUUCCCACAGCUUUCCAUUACUACCUCUCCGAGAGAUCCUCUCCACUCAGGGACUAACUUAUCUGCCUCUACUCUGUGAUCACCAGCUUCUAAAGGUGCAGAGACUGGAAGUCAGAAAUGAAGAUGUCAGCAGAGUCAUGCUCCCUUAGAAGGCUGGACAGAAGAAGCCAGCCUAGCCUCCUAGCUGCUGGUGCUGGCUGGUGAUCCUUAACAUUCUUUGGCCCCCGACUGCAUUACUCCAGUUUCUGCCUCUAUCCUCACAUGGCCAUCUUCCCUCCAAGUGUCCUGUGUAUCUCUGUGACAUUUUUUAUGGGGACACCAGUGAUUGAAUGUAGGGCCCACCCAAAUCCAGCGUGACCUCAUGUUCCUUGAUUACAUCAGCAAAGACUACUUAUAAGUAGGGGAACCUUCACAGGUACCAGGGGUUAGAACUUCAACAUAUCUUUGGGGGGGCACAAUUCAUCCCCCAACACUGGGCCACAGUAAUAAGGUGGGGAAGGCCUGGGGACAGCUGUCUCCAAGGCCCCCAGAGACACCUUCAUCUCACAACUCCUUCCUGCUCCGACCACAGGGAGACUGACGACCAGCACACGGGCCCCUGCGAGAACCCCACUUUUGAAUUCAAAUAUCCCAAUGUAAGUUUUCUCCCAAACUUCUCCCUGUGUUUGCGAUGGUUUGAUAAAGGUUAUUCCUUGCAACCAAAACGAGCCAUAAAUAAAACCAACUUUCGUGUUUAUUUUUCUCCAUAAAUUUGCUUGAUUUUAUCAUUAAAACUCCAAAAGAAGUAAGAUGCUUCAGAGACUCCUUUCAUUGGAAGCUAAAACAUUUCUCCAACAUGCUGGCCCAAGCUAGGCACUGUGGUCACGAUCUCAUGGUUUGUGGGUUUGAGCCCCACGUUGGGCUCCAUGCUGACAGUGCAGAAUCUGCUUGGGAUUCUCUGUCUGUCUGUCUCUCUCUCUCUGCCCU